rnacentral:tRNA from 1 species
GCCGCUGAUGGUGACCAGGCCGACGCCGGAGAUCUGCGAAAUCUUCUGGGCCAGGCGGGUAUCGGCCAGGUCCUCGAUCCUGGUCAGCGGCA